rnacentral:rRNA from 1 species
CCUACGGGAGGCAGCAGUGGGGAAUAUUGCACAAUGGGGGAAACCCUGAUGCAGCGACGCCGCGUGAGUGAAGAAGGAUUUCGGUAUGUAAAGCUCUGUCAGCAGGGAAGAAAAUGACGGUACCUGACCAAGAAGCCCCGGCUACCUACGUGCCAGCAGCCGCGGUAAUACGUAGGGGGCAAGCGUUAUCCGGAUUUACUGGGUGUGAAGGGAGCGUAGACGGGAGGGCAAGUCUGGAGUGAAAGGCGGGGGCUCAACCCCCGGACUGCUCUGGAAACUGUCAGGCUGGAGUGCAGGAGAGGUAGGUGGAAUUCCUAGUGUAGCGGUGAAAUGCGUAGAUAUUAGGAGGAACACCAGUGGCGAAGGCGGCUUACUGGACUGUAACUGACGUUGAGGCUCGAAAGCGUGGGGAGCAAACAGGAUUAGAUACCCCUGUAGUC